GCUGCAAAACGUUCUAUCGCUGUCCCGGCUACCGGGACGGAGGAAAGUCCGGGCAACACAGAGCAUCCUGCUUCCUAACGGGAAGGCGCCGGCAGCCGGCGACAGCAAGUGCCACAGAAAAUAUACCGCCGCGAUGUAAAUUGGGGUAAGGGUGAAAACGUGAGGUAAGAGCUCACGGCUUUUCCGGGCGACCGGGAUUGCGGUAAACCUCAGGAGUUGAAAAACCAAAUAGGUCCUGAACGCGGGGCGGCUCGUCCCCUAAUAUGCUUCGCACGAAGCAGUUUGUCAGGAUGGGUAGGUUGAUUGAACCCGUUAGCAAUGGCGGGGGCCAGAUUAAUGAUAGAAACCGGUGGUUUAACUAUCGGGACAGAACCCGGCUUACAGAUUUGCUGCUGAU
rnacentral:RNase_P_RNA from 1 species